ACCGGCCUACUUAAGUUAAGCAGCUAACUAAAAUUGUUGGCUGUUUAUAAUUCCAAUAUCAAAAUCCAUCCAUCCUCCUGAUAAAGUGUCUCAUUGUGAUUCCAAUUCUAAUUCCUACCGACAUCACUCUAGAUUCGAUCCAGAACCCAGCCCCAAAAGAUACAGAAAACAUGUAAAACAAGAAAGAGACAGAAAAAAUCCACUUCUAAUGUUGAAAAUCCAGGCCACAGACGUCACCAAGCAGCUGAUCCUACUCAAGGUCCAAGUUAUGGCCAAAUGAGAGCUCCUGGGGAGUCUGUUUUAACCAGUUAUGAAUAUGUUUUAUCAUUUUGGUGAGGAUGAUUGAAACGAUUGCAAUAUUCCUUGCAUUUCAUGUUAAGACAAUUUGCUUUUUCAUGUAUUGCAAGCUACUUGUGUUUUUUGUU